GGGUAUAGCUCAGUGGUAGAGUGCAUGCUUGGUAUGUAGAAGGUCCUGGGUUCAAUCCCUAGUGCCUCCA
rnacentral:tRNA from 1 species